UUCUUUUAGAAUUUUUAAUAAAAGUAUGUUCUGCUCAAUGAUUUUUAAAUAGCUGUAUAUUUACACUAAGGUAGCAUAAUCAAUUGUCUAUUAAUUGUAGGCUUGUAUGAAAGAAUAAAUAAUUAGGAACUUUAUUAAUUAUAGAAUUUGAAUUUUGAUUUUUAGUAAUAAUACUAAAAUUUUAUAUAGGGACAAGAAGACCCUAUAAAGCUUUAAAUUAAUAUAAAUUGUUUAUUUGUAUAUCUUUUUAAUUGGGGCAAUUAUUUAUAAUAAAAAAUAUAAUAUUAUAAAGCAAAGAUAAAAUGAUCCUUUAUUAAAGAUAGUUUGAACAAGUUACUUUAGGGAUAACAGUAUAAUUUUUAUUAAUUAGUACAAAUUAACAAUAAAGAUUAUAACCUCGAUGUUGAAUUAAUUUUAUAACAAGGUGAAGGAGCUUUGGAUAUUUGACUGUUCGUCAAUUAAAAAAUUACA
rnacentral:rRNA from 1 species